AGAUUCUUGCCCGGAACUGGGGUU
rnacentral:miRNA from 1 species